UGCGGCCGUACCAUGCUGAAUAUACCGGUUCUCGUUAGAUCACCGAAGUCAAGCAUCAUUGGGCGCGGUCAGUACUUGGGAGGGUGACCACCUGGGAACACCGCGUGCCGUU
rnacentral:rRNA from 1 species